rnacentral:rRNA from 1 species
GCGCAGCAGUCGAGAAACCUCCGCAAUGCGGGAAACCGUGACGGGGUCACCCCGAGUGCCACCCGAUGAGGGUGGCUUUUCCCCGGUCUAAAAAGCCGGGGGCAAUAAGCGGGGGGCAAGUCUGGUGUCAGCCGCCGCGGGUAAUACCAGCCCCGCGAGUGGUCGGGACCGUUUAUUGGGCCGUAAAGCGUCCGUAGCCGGCUCGGUAAGUCCCCUCCUUAAAUCCACGGGCUCAACCCGUGGGCUGGGAGGGAUACUGCCGGGC